rnacentral:rRNA from 1 species
AUUGAACGCUGGCGGCAUGCUUUACACAUGCAAGUCGAACGGCAGCGCGGGCUUCGGCCUGGUGGCGAGUGGCGAACGGGUGAGUAAUGCAUCGGAACGUGCCCAGUAGUGGGGGAUAGCCCGGCGAAAGCCGGAUUAAUACCGCAUACGACCUGAGGGUGAAAGCGGGGGACCGAAAGGCCUCGCGCUAUUGGAGCGGCCGAUGUCGGAUUAGCUAGUUGGUGGGGUAAAGGCUUACCAAGGCGACGAUCCGUAGCUGGUCUGAGAGGACGACCAGCCACACUGGGACUGAGACACGGCCCAGACUCCUACGGGAGGCAGCAGUGGGGAAUUUUGGACAAUGGGGGCAACCCUGAUCCAGCCAUGCCGCGUGCGGGAAGAAGGCCUUCGGGUUGUAAACCGCUUUUGUUCGGGAAGAAAUCCUCUGGGCUAAUACCCCGGGGGGAUGACGGUACCGGAAGAAUAAGCACCGGCUAACUACGUG